CUUAGCAGAGAUUGCUUUGGUGCCUUCGGGAACUCUGAGACAGGUGCUGCAUGGCUGUCGUCAGCUCGUGUUGUGAAAUGUUGGGUUAAGUCCCGCAACGAGCGCAACCCUUAUCCUUUGUUGCCAGCGGUCCGGCCGGGAACUCAAAGGAGACUGCCAGUGAUAAACUGGAGGAAGGUGGGGAUGACGUCAAGUCAUCAUGGCCCUUACGAGUAGGGCUACACACGUGCUACAAUGGCGCAUACAAAGAGAAGCGACCUCGCGAGAGCAAGCGGACCUCAUAAAGUGCGUCGUAGUCCGGAUUGGAGUCUGCAACUCGACUCCAUGAAGUCGGAAUCGCUAGUAAUCGUGGAUCAGAAUGCCACGGUGAAUACGUUCCCGGGCCUUGUACACACCGCCCGUCACACCAUGGGAGUGGGUUGCAAAAGAAGUAGGUAGCUUAACCUUCGGGAGGGCGCUUACCACUUUGUGAUUCAUGACUGGGGUGAAGUCGUAACAAGGUAGGCGUAGUGCU
rnacentral:rRNA from 1 species